rnacentral:rRNA from 1 species
CCUACGGGAGGCAGCAGUGGGGAAUUUUGGACAAUGGACGCAAGUCUGAUCCAGCCAUGCCGCGUGUGGGAAGAAGGCCUUCGGGUUGUAAACCACUUUUGUCAGGGAAGAAACGGCCUGGGUUAAUACCUUGGGCUAAUGACGGUACCUGAAGAAUAAGCACCGGCUAACUACGUGCCAGCAGCCGCGGUAAUACGUAGGGUGCAAGCGUUAAUCGGAAUUACUGGGCGUAAAGCGUGCGCAGGCGGUUAUGCAAGACAGAUGUGAAAUCCCCGGGCUCAACCUGGGAACUGCAUUUGUGACUGCAUGGCUAGAGUACGGUAGAGGGGGAUGGAAUUCCGCGUGUAGCAGUGAAAUGCGUAGAUAUGCGGAGGAACACCGAUGGCGAAGGCAAUCCCCUGGACCUGUACUGACGCUCAUGCACGAAAGCGUGGGGAGCAAACAGGAUUAGAUACCCUGGUAGUCCACGCCCUAAACGAUGUCAACUGGUUGUUGGGAGGGGUUUCUUCUCUAGUACGUAGCUACGCGUGAGUAGACGCCGUCGGGAGGUACGGCCGGCGAGGUUAGGUAAACGUUAAAGGUAAAGUUAGUACGGCGUGAGACGUGCCGAACGGACGACGACCGACGGGAGGUUAGGG